rnacentral:rRNA from 1 species
ACAAGCGGUGGAGCAUGUGGCUUAAUUCGAUGCAACGCGAAGAACCUUACCUGGGCUUGACAUAUAACUGCACGCCCGUGAAAGCGGGGUUCCUUCGAGGGUGUUAUACAGGUGCUGCAUGGCUGUCGUCAGCUCGUGCCGUGAGGUGUUGGGUUAAGUCCCGCAACGAGCGCAACCCUUAUCCCCAGUUGCCAUCAGGUAAAGCUGGGAACUCUGGGGAGACUGCCGGUGAUAAACCGGAGGAAGGCGGGGAUGACGUCAAGUCCUCAUGGCCCUUACAUCCCGGGCUACACACGUGCUACAAUGGCAGGUACAGAGGGCUGCGAAGCCGCGAGGUGGAGCGAAUCCCAGAAAACCUGUCUCAGUCCGGAUUGAAGUCUGCAACUCGACUUCAUGAAGGCGGAAUCGCUAGUAACCGCGAAUCAGCAGGUCGCGGUGAAUACGUUCCCGGGCCUU